UGAGGAAUAUUGGUCAAUGGACGCAAGUCUGAACCAGCCAAGUAGCGUGCAGGAUGACGGCCCUAUGGGUUGUAAACUGCUUUUAUAUGGGGAUAAAGUGGGGAACGUGUUCCCUUUUGCAGGUACCAUAUGAAUAAGGACCGGCUAAUUCCGUGCCAGCAGCCGCGGUAAUACGGAAGGUUCGGGCGUUAUCCGGAUUUAUUGGGUGUAAAGGGAGCGCAGACGGCUGUGCAAGUCUGAAGUGAAAGCCCGCGGCUCAACUGCGGGAUUGCUUUGGAAACUGUGCGGCUUGAGUAUCGGAGAGGUAAGCGGAAUUCCAAGGGUAGCGGUGAAAUGCGUAGAUAUUUGGAGGAACACCGGUGGCGAAGGCGGCUUACUGGACGAAAACUGACGUUGAGGCUCGAAGGCGUGGGGAGCAAACAGG
rnacentral:rRNA from 1 species